GUGCUGGAUGGGAUGAUGGCGUACUUUUUGUAGAACGGGCCGGCGAGUUACGGUCGGUAGCGAGGUUAAGGGAUUAUGUCCUGGAGCCGCAGCGAAAGCGAGUCUUAACAGGGCGUUUAGUUACCGGCUGUAGACCCGAAACCGGGUGAUCUACCCAUGGCCAGGGUGAAGCUCGGGUGAUGCCGAGUGGAGGCCCGCACCCACCGAUGUUAAAAAAUCGGGGGAUGAGCUGUGGGUAGGGGUGAAAAGCCAACCGAACCCGGAGAUAGCUGGUUCUCCCCGAAAUAGCUUUAGGGCUAGCCUCGGGGGUUCAGUUGCGGAGGUAGAGCACUGACUGGGCUAGGGGCCCAACAAGGUUACCGAACUCACUCAAACUCCGAAUGCCGCAACUUCAUACCCCGGGAGUCAGACUGCGGGUGAUAAGAUUCGUGGUCGAAAGGGAAACAGCCCAGACCGUCGGCUAAGGUCCCCAAGUUCAGACUAAGUGGUAAAGGAUGUGGAAUUGCACAGACAACCAGGAUGUUGGCUUAGAAGCAGCCAUACAUUUAAAGAGUGCGUAAUAGCUCACUGGUCGAGUGGUUCUGCGCCGAAAAUGUAACGGGGCUCAAGUCUGACACCGAAGCCACGGAACACGGAUGUGUUGGUAGGGGAGCGUUGUCUGCGCGCAGAAGCUGUACCGUAAGGAGCAGUGGAGUGCAGACAAGUGAGAAUGCCGGUAUGAGUAGCGAAAAGGAGGGUGAGAAUCCCUCCCGCCGAAAGCCUAAGGAUUCCUGAGGAAGGUUCGUCCGCUCAGGGUAAGUCGGGACCUAAGGCGAGGCCGAAGGGCGUAGUCGAUGGACAACAGGUUGAAAUUCCUGUACCACCAAGCAUCGUUUGAGUGAAGUGGUGACACAGAAGGGUAGGUCAUCACCCGGAUGGAAGAGGGUGUCCAAGCGCGUAGGGAGCAAGGUAGGCAAAUCCGCCUUGCGUAAUCCUGAGGCGUGAUGGGGAGGCGAAAUUAGUAGCCGAACUGAUUGAACCCAAGCUGUCAAGAAAAGCCGCUAGCGAGAUGUGAGGUGCCCGUACCGCAAACCGACACAGGUAGGCGAGGAGAGAAUCCUAAGGCGCGCGAGAGAACCCCUGUUAAGGAACUCGGCAAAAUGACUCCGUAACUUCGGGAGAAGGAGUGCCUAAGUAGUGUGAAGUUGAACAGAUGGAGCACGAACAGGCCGCAGAGAAAUGGCCCAAGCGACUGUUUAUCAAAAACACAGGUCUCUGCUAAGUGGAAACACGAAGUAUAGGGGCUGACGCCUGCCCAGUGCCGGAAGGUUAAGAGGAGAGGUCAGCGAAAGCGAAGCUUCGAAUCGAAGCCCCGGUCAAUGGCGGCCGUAACUAUAACGGUCCUAAGGUAGCGAAAUUCCUUGUCGGGUAAGUUCCGACCUGCACGAAAGGUGUAACGAUCUGGACGCUGUCUCAGCGA
rnacentral:rRNA from 1 species